GUGUCAUAUUGUUCAUCUCCAAAUACUUGCUCAAGCGCAGAUGUAUCUUCUAUGUACAAUACCUUUAUAUUUGGAAUCAGUCGACAUGCAAAGAUCUUAGGGAAUACGCAUUUCAACUUAUGGCAACGUUUGAUGUAGAUUGAAACAAGUCUUAGGAAGACAGGUUUCGGAGAAGUCGACACAUUGUGAUCAUCUUCUUCAAUGAUUUCCUCCAACUCAUUACAGUCUGUAAUGUCAAGUUCCCUCAGUUGUGGGAGUUCUUUCAAGAUGCAUGAAGGGAAUACUUCUUUCAAAUUUCCACAAUUGGAUAGGUUUAACCGCUGAAGAUGUUGGAGGAGUAAAGAAUUUUUGGGACCCCUCCAUAUAUGCCUCAAUUUGGGUAGAUCACGCAAAUUAAGGUUAUUUAACCUCAAGUUUACUUGUUGUCUAUUGAUAGGAAGCUUUCCGACAUCAAAAACAACUUCUACUUCAUCAUUAUGUCGAAUAAAUAGAAACUUUUAGGAGUA